GAUGAACGCUAGCGGCAGGCUUAACACAUGCAAGUCGAGGGGUAACAGGGUGCUUGCACCGCUGACGACCGGCGCACGGGUGCGUAACGCGUAUAGAACCUACCUUUUACAGGAGAAUACCCCAGAGAAAUUUGGAAUAAUGCUCCAUAGUAUUAUUGAAUGGCAUCAUUUGAUAAUUAAACAUUUAUGGGUAAAAGAUGGCUAUGCGUUCUAUUAGCUAGAUGGUAAGGUAACGGCUUACCAUGGCAACGAUAGAUAGGGGUCCUGAGAGGGAGAUCCCCCACACUGGUACUGAGACACGGACCAGACUCCUACGGGAGGCAGCAGUGUGGAAUAUUGGACAAUGGAGGCAACUCUGAUCCAGCCAUGCCGCGUGCAGGAAGACGGUCCUAUGGAUUGUAAACUGCUUUUAUACAGGAAGAAACACUCCCUCGUGAGGGAGCUUGACGGUACUGUAUGAAUAAGCACCGGCUAACUCCGUGCCAGCAGCCGCGGUAAUACGGAGGGUGCAAGCGUUAUCCGGAAUCAUUGGGUUUAAAGGGUCCGUAGGCGGGCUAAUAAGUCAGGGGUGAAAUCCAACAGCUUAACUGUUGAAUUGCCUUUGAUACUGUUAGUCUUGAGUUAUAUGGAAGUAGAUAGAAUGUGUAGUGUAGCGGUGAAAUGCUUAGAGAUUACACAGAAUACCGAUUGCGAAGGCAGUCUACUACGUAUAUACUGACG
rnacentral:rRNA from 1 species